UACGUAGGGGGCAAGCGUUGUCCGGAUUUAUUGGGCGUAAAGAGCGUGUAGGCGGCCAAGCAGGUCAGCUGUGAAAACUCGAGGCUCAACCUCGAGACGUCGGUUGAAGCCGCUUGGCUAGAGUCCGGAAGAGGAGAGUGGAAUUCCCGGUGUAGCGGUGAAAUGCGCAGAUAUCGGGAAGAACACCCGUGGCGAAGGCGGCACUCUGGGACGGUACUGACGCUGAGACGCGAAAGCGUGGGGAGCGAACAGG
rnacentral:rRNA from 1 species